rnacentral:tRNA from 1 species
GGUCGCUUAACUCAGUUGGUUAGAGUGUUGUACUAAUACGGGCGCUGCUCAGAUAUGCAAAAGUCGCCAGUUCGAUCCUGGUAGUGACCA